GCGGCCUUGGCAUUUCAUGGCCGUGAUCUGCCUGGUGUAUGGGACCGGCAGUGCGGUGCGGUUCUAAGCUCCUGUUCGCGCCCUGCAAAUGGACUCCAGGGCCAUCUGUCAUCUUCAAGGCUAGGUGUUUUUUUCCACUUCAUGAGUCACUUCCAGUCAGAUUCAAAGACAAAAGGCGGCCAAUUGUGUGUGGGUGAGGUUCCAGGAGCUCCUGGCUGCUCCCACCAAGGGCACAAGUUUUGAUUCCUUUUUCUUUGGACAUCCUGUCUGGC